GCCGGGCGUGGUGGCGCGCGCCUGUAGUCCCAGCUACUUGGGAGGCUGAGGCUGGAGGAUCGUUUGAGCCCAGGAGUUCUGGGCUGCAGUGCGCUAUGCCGAUCGGGUGUCCGCACUAAGUUCGGCAUCAAUAUGGUGACCUCCCGGGAGCGGGGGACCACCAGGUUGCCUAAGGAGGGGUGAACCGGCCCAGGUCGGAAACGGAGCAGGUCAAAACUCCCGUGCUGAUCAGUAGUGGGAUCGCGCCUGUGAAUAGCCACUGCACUCCAGCCUGGGCAAUAUAGCGAGACCCUGUCUCUU
rnacentral:SRP_RNA from 1 species